UACCAGCACCCCGAGCGGUCGGGACGAUUAUUGGGCCUAAAGCAUCCGUAGCCGGUUUUACAAGUCCUCCGUUAAAUCCAGCUGCUUAACAGAUGGGCUGCGGAGGAUACUAUAAGACUAGGAGGCAGGAGAGGCAAGCGGUACUCAGUGGGUAGGGGUAAAAUCCGUUGAUCCAUUGAAGACCACCAGUGGCGAAGGCGGCUUGCCAGAACGCACUCGACGGUGAGGGAUGAAAGCUGGGGGAGCAAACCGG
rnacentral:rRNA from 1 species